rnacentral:rRNA from 1 species
AGGGUUCGAUUCUGGCUCAGGAUGAACGCUGGCGGCGUGCUUAACACAUGCAAGUCGAACGGGAUCCAUCAAGCUUGCUUGGUGGUGAGAGUGGCGAACGGGUGAGUAAUGCGUGACCGACCUGCCCCAUACACCGGAAUAGCUCCUGGAAACGGGUGGUAAUGCCGGAUGCUCCGACUCCUCGCAUGGGGUGUCGGGAAAGAUUUCAUCGGUAUGGGAUGGGGUCGCGUCCUAUCAGGUAGUCGGCGGGGUAACGGCCCACCGAGCCUACGACGGGUAGCCGGCCUGAGAGGGCGACCGGCCACAUUGGGACUGAGAUACGGCCCAGACUCCUACGGGAGGCAGCAGUGGGGAAUAUUGCACAAUGGGCGCAAGCCUGAUGCAGCGACGCCGCGUGCGGGAUGACGGCCUUCGGGUUGUAAACCGCUUUUGAUCGGGAGCAAGCCUUCGGGUGAGUGUACCUUUCGAAUAAGCACCGGCUAACUACGUGCCAGCAGCCGCGGUAAUACGUAGGGUGCAAGCGUUAUCCGGAAUUAUUGGGCGUAAAGGGCUCGUAGGCGGUUCGUCGCGUCCGGUGUGAAAGUCCAUCGCUUAACGGUGGAUCUGCGCCGGGUACGGGCGGGCUGGAGUGCGGUAGGGGAGACUGGAAUUCCCGGUGUAACGGUGGAAUGUGUAGAUAUCGGGAAGAACACCAAUGGCGAAGGCAGGUCUCUGGGCCGUUACUGACGCUGAGGAGCGAAAGCGUGGGGAGCGAACAGGAUUAGAUACCCUGGUAGUCCACGCCGUAAACGGUGGAUGCUGGAUGUGGGGCCCGUUCCACGGGUUCCGUGUCGGAGCUAACGCGUUAAGCAUCCCGCCUGGGGAGUA